rnacentral:rRNA from 1 species
CCCAGACUCCUACGGGAGGCAGCAGUAGGGAAUCUUUCACAAUGGGCGAAAGCCUGAUGGAGCAACGCCGCGUGCAGGAUGAAGGCCUUCGGGUUGUAAACUGCUUUUAUAAGCGAGAAAUAUGAUGGUAACUUAUGAAUAAGGAUCGGCUAACUACGUGCCAGCAGCCGCGGUCAUACGUAGGAUCCGAGCAUUAUCCGGAGUGACUGGGUGUAAAGGGAGCGUAGGUGGCAUGGUAAGCCAGAAGUGAAAACCCGGGGCUCAACCCCGCGGAUUGCUUUUGGAACUAUCAGGCUGGAGUGCUGGAGGGGUAAGCGGAAUUCCUAGUGUAGCGGUGAAAUGCGUAGAUAUUAGGAGGAACACCGGUGGCGAAGGCGGCUUACUGGGCAGAAACUGACACUGAGGCUCGAAAGCGUGGGGAGCAAACAGGAUUAGAUACCCUAGUA